rnacentral:rRNA from 1 species
GUGGGGAAUAUUGCGCAAUGGGCGAAAGCCUGACGCAGCCACGCCGCGUGAGCGAUGAAGGCCUUCGGGUCGUAAAGCUCUGUGGGGAGAGACGAAGAAAGCCUGUGAAGAGCGGGCCUUGACGGUAUCUCCUUAGCAAGCACCGGCUAACUCCGUGCCAGCAGCCGCGGUAAUACGGAGGGUGCGAACGUUGCUCGGAAUCAUUGGGCGUAAAGCGCACGUAGGCGGCGGCGUAAGCGGGAUGUGAAAGCCCAGGGCUCAACCCUGGAAGUGCAUCCCGAACUGUGUCGCUUGAAUCUCGGAGGGGGACAGAGAAUUCCCGGUGUAGAGGUGAAAUUCGUAGAUAUCGGGAGGAAUACCAGUGGCGAAGGCGCUGUCCUGGACGAAGAUUGACGCUGAGGUGCGAAAGCGUGGGGAGCAAACAGGAUUAGAAACCCGAGUAGUCC